rnacentral:rRNA from 1 species
GGUUAAGCGACUAAGCGUACACGGUGGAUGCCCUGGCAGUCAGAGGCGAUGAAGGACGUGCUAAUCUGCGAUAAGCGUCGGUAAGGUGAUAUGAACCGUUAUAACCGGCGAUUUCCGAAUGGGGAAACCCAGUGUGUUUCGACACACUAUCAUUAACUGAAUCCAUAGGUUAAUGAGGCGAACCGGGGGAACUGAAACAUCUAAGUACCCCGAGGAAAAGAAAUCAACCGAGAUUCCCCCAGUAGCGGCGAGCGAACGGGGAGCAGCCCAGAGCCUGAAUCAGUGUGUGUGUUAGUGGAAGCGUCUGGAAAGGCGCGCGAUACAGGGUGACAGCCCCGUACACAAAAAUGCACAUGCUGUGAGCUCGAUGAGUAGGGCGGGACACGUGGUAUCCUGUCUGAAUAUGGGGGGACCAUCCUCCAAGGCUAAAUACUCCUGACUGACCGAUAGUGAACCAGUACCGUGAGGGAAAGGCGAAAAGAACCCCGGCGAGGGGAGUGAAAAAGAACCUGAAACCGUGUACGUACAAGCAGUGGGAGCACGCUUAGGCGUGUGACUGCGUACCUUUUGUAUAAUGGGUCAGCGACUUAUAUUCUGUAGCAAGGUUAACCGAAUAGGGGAGCCGAAGGGAAACCGAGUCUUAACUGGGCGUUAAGUUGCAGGGUAUAGACCCGAAACCCGGUGAUCUAGCCAUGGGCAGGUUGAAGGUUGGGUAACACUAACUGGAGGACCGAACCGACUAAUGUUGAAAAAUUAGCGGAUGACUUGUGGCUGGGGGUGAAAGGCCAAUCAAACCGGGAGAUAGCUGGUUCUCCCCGAAAGCUAUUUAGGUAGCGCCUCGUGAAUUCAUCUCCGGGGGUAGAGCACUGUUUCGGCAAGGGGGUCAUCCCGACUUACCAACCCGAUGCAAACUGCGAAUACCGGAGAAUGUUAUCACGGGAGACACACGGCGGGUGCUAACGUCCGUCGUGAAGAGGGAAACAACCCAGACCGCCAGCUAAGGUCCCAAAGUCAUGGUUAAGUGGGAAACGAUGUGGGAAGGCCCAGACAGCCAGGAUGUUGGCUUAGAAGCAGCCAUCAUUUAAAGAAAGCGUAAUAGCUCACUGGUCGAGUCGGCCUGCGCGGAAGAUGUAACGGGGCUAAACCAUGCACCGAAGCUGCGGCAGCGACGCUUAUGCGUUGUUGGGUAGGGGAGCGUUCUGUAAGCCUGUGAAGGUGUGCUGUGAGGCAUGCUGGAGGUAUCAGAAGUGCGAAUGCUGACAUAAGUAACGAUAAAGCGGGUGAAAAGCCCGCUCGCCGGAAGACCAAGGGUUCCUGUCCAACGUUAAUCGGGGCAGGGUGAGUCGACCCCUAAGGCGAGGCCGAAAGGCGUAGUCGAUGGGAAACAGGUUAAUAUUCCUGUACUUGGUGUUACUGCGAAGGGGGGACGGAGAAGGCUAUGUUGGCCGGGCGACGGUUGUCCCGGUUUAAGCGUGUAGGCUGGUUUUCCAGGCAAAUCCGGAAAAUCAAGGCUGAGGCGUGAUGACGAGGCACUACGGUGCUGAAGCAACAAAUGCCCUGCUUCCAGGAAAAGCCUCUAAGCAUCAGGUAACAUCAAAUCGUACCCCAAACCGACACAGGUGGUCAGGUAGAGAAUACCAAGGCGCUUGAGAGAACUCGGGUGAAGGAACUAGGCAAAAUGGUGCCGUAACUUCGGGAGAAGGCACGCUGAUAUGUAGGUGAAGUCCCUUGCGGAUGGAGCUGAAAUCAGUCGAAGAUACCAGCUGGCUGCAACUGUUUAUUAAAAACACAGCACUGUGCAAACACGAAAGUGGACGUAUACGGUGUGACGCCUGCCCGGUGCCGGAAGGUUAAUUGAUGGGGUCAGCGCAAGCGAAGCUCUUGAUCGAAGCCCCGGUAAACGGCGGCCGUAACUAUAACGGUCCUAAGGUAGCGAAAUUCCUUGUCGGGUAAGUUCCGACCUGCACGAAUGGCGUAAUGAUGGCCAGGCUGUCUCCACCCGAGACUCAGUGAAAUUGAACUCGCUGUGAAGAUGCAGUGUACCCGCGGCAAGACGGAAAGACCCCGUGAACCUUUACUAUAGCUUGACACUGAACAUUGAGCCUUGAUGUGUAGGAUAGGUGGGAGGCUUAGAAGUGUGGACGCCAGUCUGCAUGGAGCCGACCUUGAAAUACCACCCUUUAAUGUUUGAUGUUCUAACGUUGACCCGUAAUCCGGGUUGCGGACAGUGUCUGGUGGGUAGUUUGACUGGGGCGGUCUCCUCCUAAAGAGUAACGGAGGAGCACGAAGGUUGGCUAAUCCUGGUCGGACAUCAGGAGGUUAGUGCAAUGGCAUAAGCCAGCUUGACUGCGAGCGUGACGGCGCGAGCAGGUGCGAAAGCAGGUCAUAGUGAUCCGGUGGUUCUGAAUGGAAGGGCCAUCGCUCAACGGAUAAAAGGUACUCCGGGGAUAACAGGCUGAUACCGCCCAAGAGUUCAUAUCGACGGCGGUGUUUGGCACCUCGAUGUCGGCUCAUCACAUCCUGGGGCUGAAGUAGGUCCCAAGGGUAUGGCUGUUCGCCAUUUAAAGUGGUACGCGAGCUGGGUUUAGAACGUCGUGAGACAGUUCGGUCCCUAUCUGCCGUGGGCGCUGGAGAACUGAGGGGGGCUGCUCCUAGUACGAGAGGACCGGAGUGGACGCAUCACUGGUGUUCGGGUUGUCAUGCCAAUGGCACUGCCCGGUAGCUAAAUGCGGAAGAGAUAAGUGCUGAAAGCAUCUAAGCACGAAACUUGCCCCGAGAUGAGUUCUCCCUGACUCCUUGAGAGUCCUGAAGGAACGUUGAAGACGACGACGUUGAUAGGCCGGGUGUGUAAGCGCAGCGAUGCGUUGAGCUAACCGGUACUAAUGAACCGUGAGGCUUAACCUU